rnacentral:rRNA from 1 species
UACGGAGGUUGCAAGCGUUAUCCGGAUUCACUGGGUUUAAAGGGUGCGUAGGAGGGCAGGUAAGUCAGUGGUGAAAUCUUCGAGCUUAACUCGGAAACUGCCGUUGAUACUAUCUGUCUUGAAUACCGUGGAGGUGAGCGGAAUAUGUCAUGUAGCGGUGAAAUGCUUAGAUAUGACAUAGAACACCAAUUGCGAAGGCAGCUCGCUACACGAAUAUUGACUCUGAGGCACGAAAGCGUGGGGAUCAAACAGG